GAAGCGUGUCAGCAGGAUGCCAACGCCCUCAAUCAUUGCCAGAAGCAUCCCUCCAAUCACUGCACUCCCUGCCAUUGCUGCAACUCCACCUGAAUUAGAAAAAAACAAAGGAGACAGUGAUUAGUGCCUUUACUAUGUAGAGGUAGAGAAGAGUAAACAAGACUGAACUUUGGAAGGAUACUUCAGUUUCCAAUGAGAACCUGACAUCUCCUUCAAGAGCACAAGUGUACCAGCAAGGAGAAGACAAAGCUUUACUUUCCCUACACAGUGAUAAAAUGACCUGUCAAGGAUUAUCAGGGGCCACUUGGAUUACCUAGGCACCUGAAGCACCCUUCAGGACCCUGUAGAACUAUGAGAUACCUUAAAAUGUGAAACUCUUCAAGCUGAAGAGGAGUGCACUGGAGAGCACACAAGAUCAAGUUUUGCCUCGAGGGAGAUGCUGGAGAAAAGUGAGAUGCCACAUUGCCAGGUUUUAUGAGAAUCAGGAGCAAUAUAAGGCUCUGUCAUGUGGUACUAGAGUUUCUUAGAGGGGAGACAAGUUGAGGUGAGAAGCUUCCAGUUGCUGGGCUACAAGCAUCCCCUGUCGAAACUCACAUUGGUGUUCCAUCAUUAUGUAAAGCGCCAGGGUACAGUCAGUUGUCAACUUACCAGAUGGAAACCCAGACUACUCAGGUCUCUGCAGCUUUGGCACCCGGUUGUAAAUCUGCAUCAGCAAUAAAUGGGCGGGCACCCUUCCUGGCACACUGAGCACAAUCAUACCAUGUUAGUUGUUGCAGUCCUCUUUCCAUUUCCAUAUAGGAAUGACCAGCCUCCUCUUCAUCAGGAGGAAAGGUACCAGACUGCCAUAUGGCAGGCAAGACCACCUGCAACCUGUGGAUCUUAGCCUUGCCUCCAGCUUUGAGUGGCUCUUAAUUGAUUUUACUGAUACCAGGUGCCUUUCCACCCCUCAACUAUGCCACAGCCUCUAUAAUCAGCAUCCACCACCUGCAUGCUCCUUCCCCACUUGGAGGGUCUGGCGUUUACAUCUGCUCAAACUACUCAGCCCAACCAUGUGCGACACGAAGAAGCAAUCUGCUGUUCUGAUUGUGCUCACCUGAGGAGGAGGCUAGGAGCAGAGCUUCUUCAGGGCUCAGUAAACAGGUGGAAGUCAUUCACAUUGAAAUGGUCGUUGAUUUCCUCAAUGAGACAACUGACAUACCUUUCACUGGCUCUCCUCAGGAGAGCUCUAGUCUUGCUUGACAGAACCCUAUAUUGAUCCUGAUCCCCAUCAAGCUUGGCAGUACGACCCUUCAUUCUGUUCCUUCUUUCACUUCUGUCACAAAUGGCCCUCCUACCUCCUCCCCUGCUGUCUCCAUCCCUCUCCCUCUUAACCCUUUCUAUAUGGCGACGUCGGCGUCCUGAUGGCGAAGCCUAUGUUGGCGUCUUUAUUACAUUUAGUUUUAGUUGGUGCUCAGUGAUCCCAUAUUCUGUUCUGACUCUACCUAGAGACUCCGUAUAUGAUACAGUGUCUUAUUUGACUUUCAGUGUUAUUAUAGUGUAAUAACGUAAGUGUGUCUUACGCGCAUUUGUACUUGACACUAACAAUCAAGACACUAACAAUCAAUUCUAACAGAAAAUAACAAAAAUAAUGAAUGUGUACGUGUGGAAUUGUUGAGUUCCUCUUCCUUUGAGUUGCCAAGUGGCCACCUCCCCCCUCGUGUGUGUGUUAAUCUCUCUGUAUAUUUAUGCUUACAUCUCAAAAUUAUCUAAUAGUUUAUAUUUUUCUAUGUGCACCAUUAAAUUUUGCAUGUUUUUAUAUAUAAUACAUGAUUAUUUUGAAACUAUGGCUGAAAACUUGUUAUAAGCAGAAGCGACAUUUGAAAUUUGACGCGCACAGCCAGCCCGGAUACAGGGCAGGGUGCCGUUUUCACCCGGUCGUAGCGAAGGGGUUAAGUGUCUUUUCA